GUCAGGCCGAACCCCUCUCUAGUCUCAUUGAGGGGCUGCAUGCCAUGAGGGAGCUUGUAUCCUUUGAAUUAUUUGGCAAACCCUGAUCCUUGGAGAAAGGGAAUCAAAACACUUCAACUGAAUAACUUACAAUUUGUGUCUGCCACUAUUAUCUGGAGUAUAGCAAGUUCAUCCUGGUACUCAGUAUGAUAAAUCACGCUGUCAGUGACUGCAAAAAUUAUUAAUGAUCUGAUGAGGAAACAGCAGCAAGAAGAAGUGCUCAUUGUGUCUGUGAAGGUAUGUUGCUUCUGCUGAUGCCUUUACAGAAGCAAACAUUUUCACAAAUGGUUGCCUGGCUUUCUCUGGGCUCCUCUGCUUUUCCAAGUCAGCUUAAUCUCUUCUGGCACGAGUUCUUUAUUAUUCAUUUAUAACUAAGUAAUACUCAUCAUGUAUCAAAAAAUCCAUCAAUUCUAGGCAUCGUCUCUUACAUUUGUAAGAUUCAGAGUAGUUAGAGACUGUUUAUUUCAGAGGCUUAUUUUCAUUUGUCAUAUUAUUUUGUUAAGGGCAUCUAUGUUUCUUGUUUGUCAGAAUUAAGGUCUCUGAAUUCUUAGUAUUUUUUGAUAUAUUUACUGGAAUAUGUUCUCUCUUGGCCAGCAGUGUUCAGAAAAUGUAUCCCAUUCGAUCUGGAAAAAAAUAAAUUGGAGAUUCAGUCACUAGCUGCAGAACUUACUGUCAUUGUCCUGCAGCAGUGAUUUACUUUCCUUCUAAGCUUUGGGCCGCAGGCAAAAACAGUUUUAGGUGUUUGUUUCCAAGUCCUCCAUCAAUUCAGAUAGUGUCCUCUGAUUGCUGAGAGACUGACUGGUGUGAUAACUGCUUGUGAUGAACAUUAGAAAUGUCAGACAACUUAGGCCGUAAGAGGCAUAACCUAGGAUUCCUUCUCAACAAGAAAACAUCCUGCUUCCUAACUGCUGCAGAAACUGAAUUCCUUCUUCAUCUUAAAUAUAAGCAAGAUAAGAAAAGGAACAAAAUGAUCUUGAUGAGAAAAGACACAAGAAAUAAAUUUGUCUUUUAAACUACAAACACAGUAAGAUGCCUAUCUGUCAUGCUGUUAUAUUUAUACAAUUUUGCAAUGAAUUAUGAUCUUUGAAGAUAUCGGAAGACUUGGAUCCCAGUACAUUAGCAAUUGUAUCUCUAUUUUUACCCACUUCAGAGCAUUAAACUAUUCUGAUUUUUAUCUGAAUCUGUUUUAUUCUCUGGCCUCCCACAGACUGUCAACUUUUAAUGGCAUUUGUUUCCUCAUUAAUGUCUGUAUUUGUACUCACAGACGUAUUGCAGUAAGUUUAUUUCCAAUUCAUGUUUGAAGCUGAAUUUAUCUAUCUAGGGAAGUAAGACUCUUACCUGUAAUUAGUAUUCAAGUAGGCCAAUUAUUUUAUACUUUAUAUUCAAAAAGAUUUCCCUACAUUCCAGAAGAAUUAAAUGCUUCAGUUUUCAUCUGUAAAACAAAAAGAUUAGUGGCAAUUGUACUGUGACUAUAAAAAUUAAACUGUCACUAAUAAAUUUGAAUCAAUUCAGUGUUCCAUCAUGGCAAUAGUGGUGCACACGUAUU